AGCAGUCGCCACGGUAAUACGAAGGGUGCAAGCGUUACUCGGAAUUACUGGGCGUAAAGCGUGCGUAGGUGGUGGUUUAAGUCCGUUGUGAAAGCCCUGGGCUCAACCUGGGAAUUGCAGUGGAUACUGGGUCACUAGAGUGUGGUAGAGGAUAGUGGAAUUUCCGGUGUAGCAGUGAAAUGCGUAGAGAUCGGAAGGAACAUCUGUGGCGAAGGCGACUAUCUGGGCCAACACUGACGCUGAGGUACGAAAGCGUGGGGAGCAAACAGGAUUAGAUACCCCAGUAGUCCCUGUCUCUUAUAC
rnacentral:rRNA from 1 species